rnacentral:rRNA from 1 species
CACGUAGUUAGCCGGGGCUUCUUAGUCAGGUACCGUCCUCCUUCUUCCCUGCCGAUAGGGCUUUACGCGCCGAAACGCUCCUUCACCCACGCGGCGUCGCUGCAUCAGGGUUCCCCCCAUUGUGCAAUAUCCCCCACCUGCUGCCUCCCGUAGGAGUCUGGGCCGUGUCUCAGUCCCAGUGUGGCCGUCCGCCCUCUCAGGCCGGCUACUGAUCGUCGCCUUGGUAGGCCGUUACCCUGCCAACUAGCUAAUCAGACGCGGGCCCAUCCUGUACCACCGGAGUUUUCAGGGGGGUGCCAUGCGGCUCCCCCCGUUAUGCGGUAUUAGCACCUAUUUCUAAGUGUUGUCCCCCUGUACAGGGCAGGUUGCCCACGCGUUACUCACCCGUCCGCCACUCAUGCACGGGGCUUCCGGCCGGAGCCUUCCAUCCCGUACACCCGUUCGACUUGCAUGUGUUAGGCACGCCGCCAGCGUUCAUCCUGAGCCAGGAUCAAACUCU